GCUCUCUCAGAGGAGACCAGUGUCUUACCACAGAUCAGAUCAACAGGUCCUCAAGGUGUGGCGGGUUUUCAAUCAGUGGAUUUGCCAGAGGAGCAAAGUAAAUUUAUUACUGAUGAAUUUAUUUAAUAUGGAAAGAGGCCAAGAUUAUUCACAAGGAGGAAAGAAGUAAAGUGGAGUCAGAGAACAUUGGCAGUUUGCAGAAUCUCUGGGAAGUCUGCAGAAACUGGCUCAGAAAACAGGCAGAAACGAAUGGAAGAUGAGCAGACAGAAUCACAGGCAAAGCAC
rnacentral:lncRNA from 1 species